AGUGAACGCUGGCGGUAGGCCUAACACAUGCAAGUCGAACGGCAGCACAGGAGAGCUUGCUCUCUGGGUGGCGAGUGGCGGACGGGUGAGGAAUACAUCGGAAUCUACUCUGUCGUGGGGGAUAACGUAGGGAAACUUACGCUAAUACCGCAUACGACCUACGGGUGAAAGCAGGGGACCUUCGGGCCUUGCGCGAUUGAAUGAGCCGAUGUCGGAUUAGCUAGUUGGCGGGGUAAAGGCCCACCAAGGCGACGAUCCGUAGCUGGUCUGAGAGGAUGGUCAGCCACACCGGAACUGAGACACGGUCCAGACUCCUACGGGAGGCAGCAGUGGGGAAUAUUGGACAAUGGGCGCAAGCCUGAUCCAGCCAUACCGCGUGGGUGAAGAAGGCCUUCGGGUUGUAAAGCCCUUUUGUUGGGAAAGAAAUCCAGCUGGCUAAUACCCGGUUGGGAUGACGGUACCCAAAGAAUAAGCACCGGCUAACUUCGUGCCAGCCGCCGCAGUAA
rnacentral:rRNA from 1 species